rnacentral:sRNA from 1 species
AUAUUAAAUUUAUGUUCGGGUUCUCGGGUAUCCUAUUUGGAUAACGGUAAUCUCCGGACCGACCUGAUACCCACGGGUUUACUAAAAUUUUACCCAUUGAGGUAAUUUCUUAAAACUCUAACCCGCCCCAACCCGAUUUUUUCAGUUCGGGUAUCAGAUUGGGUAUCGGAUCCGGUUUUUUUGCCCACCCCUAGGUACGUGCGGGAGAAAUAUAUUUGCGGGACAAGUCCGGUUUGAUCAAAAUAAGCGGUACAAAAUAAUGUUUGAUUGGUGAAAAAAUUAUUUGCGGUGCGAAAUAUAAAUUAUAUAUAU